rnacentral:rRNA from 1 species
AGGGGGUACUUGUAUCCCUGAAAGUGGCGAGCGGGUGAGUAACACGUAGGUGACCUACCCCAAAGAAGGGGAUAACUACUGGAAACGGUGGCUAAAACCCUAUGGUUCUGACGACUGUGGAGGUUGUCAGAUAAAGACUCCGGUGCUUUGGGAGGGGCCUGCGUCCGAUUAGGUAGUUGGUGGGGUAAAGGCCUACCAAGCCGAUGAUCGGUAGCUGGUCUGAGAGGACGAUCAGCCACACUGGAACUGAGAGACGGUCCAGACUCCUACGGGGGGCAGCAGUGAGGAAUAUUGCACAAUGGGGGCAACCCUGAUGCAGCAACGCCGCGUGGAGAAUGAGGGCCUUCGGGUCGUAAACUCCUUUUCUGGGGGAAGAGGAAGGACGGUACCCCAGGAAUAAGUCACGGCUAACUACGUGCCAGCAGCCGCGGUAAUACGUAGGUGGCAAGCGUUAUCCGGAAUUACUGGGCGUAAAGCGCGCGCAGGCGGCCGAAUAAGUCUGACGUGAAAGCUCCUGGCUUAACUGGGAGAGGUCGUUGGAAACUGUUUGGCUUGAGGCAGUGAGAGGGGUGCAGAAUUCCCGGUGUAGUGGUGGAAUGCGUAGAUAUCGGGAGGAAUACCAGUGGCGAAAGCGGCACCCUGGCACUGAACUGACGCUCAUGUGCGAAAGCGUGGGUAGCGAACGGGAUUAGAUACCCCGGUAGUCCACGCUGUAAACGAUGAGUACUAGGUGUAGGCGGUAUCGACCCCGUCUGUGCCGAAGCAAACGCGAUAAGUACUCCGCCUGGGGACUACGGCCGCAAGGUUAAAACUCAAAGGAAUUGACGGGGACCCGCACAAGCAGCGGAGCGUGUGGUUUAAUUCGAUGCAACGCGAAGAACCUUACCUGGGUUUGACAUGUACGUAGUAGUGAACCGAAA